CCAAGCUACUAAGGGNAUACGGUGGAUGCCUUGGCGCUAAGAGGCGAUGAAGGACGUUGGUAAUUGCGAUAAGCUUCGGGGAGCCAUUACACAGGCCGUGAUCCGAAGAUCUCCGAAUGGGAAAACCCAUCUAGAGCAGUCUAGAUACUCUCUGCUGAAUACAUAGGCAGACGAGAGCUAACUCAGGGAACUGAAACAUCUAAGUACCUGAAGGAAAAGAAAACAAAAGUGAUUCCCCUAGUAGCGGCGAGCGAACGGGGACCAGCCUAAACCUCGGUUGUGUAAGUCUGCAAGCGUUGCAGCCGGGGGGUUGUGGGAUCAACAUCGAGUCAUUGCAGUGACUCACGGUGAUCGUUGUUAUGAAGUUGAAGCGGUUGGGAAACCGCCCCAAAGAAGGUGAUAGGCCUGUACACGAAUCAUAGCAUGACAUCGCGUUGACACCCGAGUACCGCGGGACACGAGAAACCCUGUGGGAAUCUGGGAGGACCACCUCCUAAGGCUAAAUACUACUNAGNGACCGAUAGUGNACCAGUACCGUGAGGGAAAGGUGAAAAGUACCCCNAUAAGGGGAGUGAAAUAGACCCUGAAACCGUAUANNUACAAGCAGUCANAGCACUANGNNUACANGUGNGAUGGCGUGCCUUUUGCAUAAUGAGCCUGCGAGUUACCUUCUGCAGCAAGGUUAAGUCGNUAGACGAAGCCGAAGCGAAAGCGAGUCUGAAUAGGGCGUNUAGUUGUUGGAGGUAGACCCGAAACCGNGUGAUCUAUCCAUGGCCAGGUUGAAGCNCGAGUAAGAUCGNGUGGAGGACCGAACCCACCAANGUUGAAAANUUGGGGGAUGAGCUGUGGAUAGGGGUGAAAGGCCAAUCAAACUCGGAAAUAGCUGGUUCUCUCCGAAAUAUAUUUAGGUAUAGCCUCGCGUAUUGCCUCUGGAGGUAGAGCACUGAAUGGGUUAGGGGUCUCACCAGAUUACCGACCCCAAUCAAACUCCGAAUGCCAGAGAGUAUGAGCGCGGGAGUCAGUCCUUGGGAGAUAACUUCCUCGGACAAAAGGGAAACAACCCAGACCGCCGGCUAAGGCCCCAAAGUUCAUGCUAAGUGGAAAAGGAUGUGGGAGCGCAUUGACAACCAGGAGGUUGGCUUAGAAGCAGCCACCUUUUAAAGAAAGCGUAAUAGCUCACUGGUCCAGCGAACCUGCGCCGAAAAUGUAACGGGUCUAAGCAUGACGCCGAAGCCGCGGAUCCUUUAAGGAUGGUAGGAGAGUAUUCGAACCGCAGAGAAGGUCAACCGGAAGGGUGGCUGGAGCUGUUCGAAGAGCUUAUGCAGGCAUGAGUAGCGAUAAAACGGGNGAGAAACCCGUUCGCCGUAAGCCUAAGGUUUCCUAGGCCAGGUUAAUCCUCCUAGGGUGAGUCGGACCCUAAGCCGAGGCUGAAAAGCGUAGGCGAUGGAAAACAGGUUAAUAUUCCUGUACCGACCGUGUACUGUUAUUUUGUAAGAAGGGACGGAGAAGGAUAGGUCAGCCGUAUGAUGGAUUGCGGUUUAAGCCGGUAGGCAGCACUCUUUGGAUGCGUAGGCAAUAAACGGGAGUGCAAUGCCGAGAGGCGAUGAGGUGGGCUACGCCCUGAACUGACUUGUUCCAUGCUUCCAAGAAAAGCUUCGUGCAGAGGUAUACGGACGACCGUACCGCAAACCAACACAGGUAGGCAGGGAGAGUAUCCCAAGGCGCUUGAGAGAACCCUGGUUAAGGAACUCGGCAAAUUAGCACCGUAACUUCGGGAGAAGGUGUGCCCUCUAGGUGAACGACUUCGCGUCNGNAGCCGAAGGGGGUUGCAGUGAAAUGGCGGUAGCGACUGUUUACUAAAAACACAGGACUCUGCAAAGUCGAAAGACGAAGUAUAGGGUCUGACGCCUGCCCGGUGCCGGAAGGUUAAGAGGAGUGGUCAGCGUAUGCGAAGCCAUGAAUUGAAGCCCCGGUAAACGGCGGCCGUAACAAUAACGGUCCUAAGGUAGCGAAAUUCCUUGUCGGGUAAGUUCCGACCUGC
rnacentral:rRNA from 1 species